GGUCUUGUGGUCUAGUGGUAUGAUUCGCGCUUAGGGAACACCCUAAACAAAAAUGCGCGAGGCCCCGUGUUCAAUCCACGGCAAGACCC